GAUGAAGAACGUAGCGAAAUGCGAUAAGUAGUGUGAAUUGCAGAAUUCAGUGAAUCAUCGAAUCUUUGAACGCACAUUGCGCCCCUUGGUAUCCCGAGGGGCAUGCCUGUUCGAGCGUCAUUUCACCACUCAAGCCUGGCUUGGUGUUGGGCGACGUCCCCUUUGGGGACGCGCCUCGAAACGCUCGGCGGCGUGGCACCGGCUUUAAGCGUAGCAGAAUCUUUCGCUUUGGAAGUCGGGGCCCCGUCUGCCGGAAGACCUACUCGCAAGGUUGACCUCGGAUCAGGCAGGGAUACCCGCUGAGUUUAAGCAUAUCAAUAAGCGGAGGA
rnacentral:misc_RNA from 1 species